rnacentral:rRNA from 1 species
AGUGAACGCUGGCGGUAGGCCUAACACAUGCAAGUCGAACGGCAGCACAGUAAGAGCUUGCUCUUACGGGUGGCGAGUGGCGGACGGGUGAGGAAUACAUCGGAAUCUACUUUUUCGUGGGGGAUAACGUAGGGAAACCUACGCUAAUACCGCAUACGACCUACGGGUGAAAGCAGGGGAUCUUCGGACCUGGCGCGAAUGAAUGAGCCGAUGUCGGAUUAGCUAGUUGGCGGGGUAAAGGCCCACCAAGGCGACGAUCGGUAGCUGGUCUGAGAGGAUGAUCAGCCACACUGGAACUGAGACACGGACCAUACUCCUACGGGAGGCCGCAGUGGGGAAUAUUGGACAAUGGGCGCAAGCCUGAUCCAGCCAUACCGCGUGGGUGACGAAGGCCUUCGGGUUGUAAAGCCCUUUUUUUGGGAAAGAAAAGCAGCAGGUUGAUACCCCGCUGUUCUGACGGUACCCAAAGAAUAAGCACCGGCUAACUUCGUG